AUUUUUGCUUGCUCUAGAGAUGUUUGCCCAAACACUCGCAAAUAUAGGGAUCUUUUCUACACGGCUGAACUGUGUGGUCAGCAGCUGGAAGGAGAGUCAUUUUGUGUGCUUCAGAUACUGCCUGCAAGCAGAAUAAGGAGGCAUCAGUAACCCACUUCUUGAAUGUCAAUUGCCAUGAAAAUCCUAUGAUGAGACAAUACAAAAUGAAACAAGGGAUAAUGCCAGAAGAUGAGACUGCCAGGUCAGAAGGCACUUAACUAUCUGCCAGAGAAGAGCAGAGGACAAGUUCAAGUAGUACUAUGUCCAGUGAUGCAACUGGACUCAAGCUAAAAGGAUGUUCAACUACGGACAUGCACAGAAGUGAAAGAAAAGUCCGAGGCUGUGCAAUAUAUGCAGCAGGAACACACAAAAUGUGAGAAGCUAGACAUAGACUUGAUAGUGCAAAAGAUUUGGGAGAUUGGGAAGGAGACCAGACAGACAGAAGUGUAAACUAUAAUCAUAAAUGAAAAAAUAAAGAUGAAAUGUCCUACAAAUUAAUGCAAAGUAUUCAAAGUGUAAAGCCUUGAAAUGAAAUUAUAUGAUGUAAAUGAAAGGCAAUGAGGCACUGUCAAAUGCUAAUAAAUACUUUUAGAAGCUGAA